UACGUAGGGUGCGAGCGUUGUCCGGAAUUAUUGGGCGUAAAGAGCUCGUAGGCGGUCUGUCGCGUCUGCUGUGAAAUCCCGAGGCUCAACCUCGGGCCUGCAGUGGGUACGGGCAGACUAGAGUGCGGUAGGGGAGAUUGGAAUCCCUGGUGUAGCGGUGGACUGCGCAGAUAUCAGGAGGAACACCGAUGGCGAAGGCAGAUCUCUGGGCCGUAACUGACGCUGAGGAGCGAAAGCAUGGGUAGCGAACAGG
rnacentral:rRNA from 1 species